GAGAGAGAGAGAGAGAGAGAUUCCUUCCUGCUCAAUCUGACAGGCUUAUAUUUGUUAAAGCUAGUGGUUUGGUGAUAAAUGGACUGCUUAAACUACUGUUUAUUGACAAAUGUUUGUUUGUUCAUGCAUAGCGGUUGUAUGUAUAUGCUUUUAGACACUUCAUGCAUGCAAGGCUAUUCUUCAUAUAGAUUGUAUGGACAAAUGUUUGAGCUGAGAAUGAAUAUCUUUUCAUUCAUUGAAAAGCUUUGUGUCAUCUUCAUUUUCUGUGUGUUGAAUUACUGCAUUUCUCCAAGUAUCAUAAUUUCUUGAAUCCUAUAAAAGCCAGACCAGAUUCAAGCUUGGGUUAAAUUAUUCUUUUCUAUUCUCGAUAUUAAAUUCCCAGACCAGAUGUGAUGGGAAGAUUCAUUGUAUUGAGUAAUGAUAACCAUAGUCAUAAUGUUAUAUGGUAAAGAAAGUAUGAAGACUCGUCAUCUAGUCAAUUUCUUGAAGCAAAGUAUCCUAUGAGAAGCACGGGUGAGUUGUUCUUGUGGCUUAUAAAUGGG
rnacentral:misc_RNA from 1 species